rnacentral:rRNA from 1 species
GAUGAACGCUGGCGGCGUGCUUAACACAUGCAAGUCGAACGGAGUACCCUUGAAGGAGUUUUCGGACAACUGAAAGGACUACUUAGUGGCGGACGGGUGAGUAACGCGUGAGUAACCUGCCUUGGAGUGGGGAAUAACAGCUGGAAACAGCUGCUAAUACCGCAUGAUGCAGUUGGGUCGCAUGGCUCUGACUGCCAAAGAUUUAUCGCUCUGAGAUGGACUCGCGUCUGAUUAGCUGGUUGGCGGGGUAACGGCCCACCAAGGCGACGAUCAGUAGCCGGACUGAGAGGUUGGCCGGCCACAUUGGGACUGAGACACGGCCCAG